rnacentral:rRNA from 1 species
GACGAACGCUGGCGGCGUGCUUAACACAUGCAAGUCGAACGGAAAGGCCUCUUUCGGGGGGUACUCGAGUGGCGAACGGGUGGGUAACACGUGAGUAACCUGCCCUUGACUUUGGGAUAACUUCAGGAAACUGGGGCUAAUACCGGAUAGGAGCUCCUGCUGCAUGGUGGGGGUUGGAAAGUUUCGGCGGUUGGGGAUGGACUCGCGGCUUAUCAGCUUGUUUGUGGGGUAGUGGCUUACCAAGGCUUUGACGGGUAGCCGGCCUGAGAGGGUGACCGGCCACAUUGGGACUGAGAUACGGCCCAGACUCCUACGGGAGGCAGCAGUGGGGAAUAUUGCACAAGGGGUGGAAGCCUGAUGCAGCAACGCCGUGGGCGGGAUGACGGCCUUCGGGUUGUAAACCGCUUUCGCUCAUGACGAAGCUUUGUGUGACGGUAGUGGGUAAAGAAGCACCGGCUAACUACGUG